ensembl:snRNA U6 U6 spliceosomal RNA
GUGCUUGCUUUGGCAACACAGAUACUAAACUUGGAACAAAACAGAAGAUUAGCAUGGCUCCUACACAAGGGUGACACUCAAAAAAAGAGUUCACACAUGUGU